UGAUUGGUUCCUUGCCACAUGGAGGGUGUCUGACUUCCUAGUGACCAGGAGGUUGGGCAAGAUCAGGAAGCUCAGACACAUUUUGCUGUGUCAGAGGACUACAUCUUGCUUGGUCUGUCAUGGCUACCAAAGCAGGGUACUGGGAAUAGAAGCAACACAAGGCCCAUCCCAGAAGUUGAGUAGAUAUCAGCUUCAUUCAAGUGUCAGAGCUGUCAGCCAAAAUAAAGACCUCUUCUUUAGACACUA